rnacentral:rRNA from 1 species
GACGAACCGUGCGAACGUUAUUCGGAAUCACUGGGCUUAAAGCGCGUGUAGGCGGGACGGCACGUCCGUCGCUGAAAUCCCCGGCUCAACCGGGACUGGCGGGAUACGACCGUCCUGGAGGGACGUAGGGGGGACCUGGAACUUCCGGUGGAGCGGUGAAUGCGUUGAGAUCGGAAGGAACGCCCGUGGCGAAAGCGAGGUCCUGGACGUUUCUGACGCUGAGACGCGAAAGCCAGGGGGGAGCGAACGGG